rnacentral:lncRNA from 1 species
CAUGACUUUUGUUUAUUCAUAACGAACAUUGGAGGUGAUAUGUCGACAAAUGGAUGAUUACAUACGAGACCCAUCAGAUUGCGGUGCUUUCUACCGAUGUUUCAAUGGCAGCCCAGUCAGGUUUGUUUGCCCCCGAAAUAUGCUUUUCAGUAGUCGCCGGAAACUUUGUGAUUAUGCCCGUAAUGUCCAAGACUGCAAUAAUUGACAUCAAAAAGGAAAUUGCUGAAUACUUUUACUGACAAAUGAAAUUAAAGAGAACUGAAUAUAGGAAAGAAAAUACUUUAAACUAUCCUCUAAUGGAAAUCAAUCCAAAAUAAGGCUUGUUUUCUUCUCACUACAGAGGGUCAAAAACACUUUGAAAAUAUACAAAUAUAAUACUUAAACAAGAGAUUAAAAAGGUCUACUGCUAGCUAACAGUGACAUGA